rnacentral:rRNA from 1 species
GAUGAACGCGGGCGGCGUGCGUAAUACAUGCAAGUAGAACGCUGAAGCUUGGUGCUUGCACCGAGCGGAUGAGUUGCGAACGGGUGAGUAACGCGUAGGUAACCUGCCUCUUAGCGGGGGAUAACUAUUGGAAACGAUAGCUAAUACCGCAUAAAAGACGAUAUCGCAUGAUAUUGAUUUGAAAGGUGCAGAUGCAUCACUAAGAGAUGGACCUGCGUUGUAUUAGCUAGUUGGUGAGGUAACGGCUCACCAAGGCGACGAUACAUAGCCGACCUGAGAGGGUGAUCGGCCACACUGGGACUGAGACACGGCCCAGACUCCUACGGGAGGCAGCAGUAGGGAAUCUUCGGCAAUGGGGGCAACCCUGACCGAGCAACGCCGCGUGAGUGAAGAAGGUUUUCGGAUCGUAAAGCUCUGUUGUAAGAGAAGAACGAGUGUGAGAGUGGAAAGUUCACACUGUGACGGUAACUUACCAGAAAGGGACGGCUAACUACGUGCCAGCAGCCGCGGUAAUACGUAGGUCCCGAGCGUUAUCCGGAUUUAUUGGGCGUAAAGCGAGCGCAGGCGGUUAGAUAAGUCUGAAGUUAAAGGCUGUGGCUUAACCAUAGUACGCUUUGGAAACUGUUUAACUUGAGUGCAGAAGGGGAGAGUGGAAUUCCAUGUGUAGCGGUGAAAUGCGUAGAUAUAUGGAGGAACACCGGUGGCGAAAGCGGCUCUCUGGUCUGUAACUGACGCUGAGGCUCGAAAGCGUGGGGAGCAAACAGG